AACAUUAGGAAGCCAGUUAGCAGCUGAGAGGGAGAGGAGAGAAAUUUAAAAUAAUCAUGGUGGAGGGCAGGAGCCUGCACUGACCAGAGAAAUGCCCAGAAAGACCAAAGCCUAUUGAAUGAAUGCACUUGGUGAAGGUGAACUCACAAAGGAGCCAUUGUGCCCCAUGAGUGGCUUUUCCCUGGCAGUCCUUGAGAGCUGAGUUAUUUGACUUUUUAUUGUCUUCUUGGGGCAAGGACUUCCUCCUGAUUCCACUCUAUCAUCCUGGGAAUUUUUUUCCUACAGAUCCAGGAAGAGGGAGGAAAUGAAGGGAGGCUCAGAAAGAAGCAGUUUAACUUAUAUGAAAAAUAUUUUGACUAACUCAUUGAGUUUGUCAAGUAAAACAGUGAGCAAUGUGAGACCUGGAGAGAGGCAGAGAAAUUCAGAAGAUUCUGAGAGAAAUGUUAAGGACAACUGUUAGAAGAAGGCUAGUGGCCCCUCCUAACCUCCUAACUUGAGGACUGAUUGACCUUCUAGGUGUUACUCCCAAUGACCCAACUUUGAACUAACUGCCCAUGUGGCAAGGUGAUGUGAAGAUACUUUCAUUCUGAAGGAAGACUCUAACAAUACAAAGGAAUGAAUAUCUAAUGUUGGAACUUCAGGUACAUAAAGUGUCCAAAGAUGUUUUGGGCCAGGAUGUUCUACCUUGUGCUGUUCAAAUGAUCGACUAGGUAGCCUCCUACUUUACCCUCUUAAGAGGUUGGCUCUGCCCUUUGGAACUUCAGAAACAUCUGGCUCAUUGUCUUUCUCAAAGAAAAAGUUUGCCACGCCAGAUCUGAGGAAUGCAGGCAGCUUGCUGUGAACACACUUAUCUGGAGUGCCCUGGGCCUCAGGCGGUCCUAUGAAAAGGCCAAUAUGGAGAGAAACUGAGGCCUCCCAUCCAGAGCCAACACAAACUUCCUCGUCAUGAGUGAAUCAGCAGGGAAGUGGAGUCUUCAACUCCAGUUCAGCCUUCAAAAGGUUUCAGCCUUACCUGCUAUCAGCCCGUAUCGUCAUGAGACACACUGAGCCAGAACCAUCUAGUCAAACCACUGCCAAAUAACUGAAGCACAGAAACCAUAAGAGAUAAUAAAAGAUCAAGUGUUAUUUUAAGUCUCAAAGUUUUGGGGUAAUUUAUCAGGCAGCCAUAGUAAAUAGAAUAUAUUAUGUAUUGUCCCCAGGUAAAAUGCUCAUUCACUUCCUUUAAAAGUUCUUGGAGGUAGGAAGAAUAUAAACACAUAAAAAUCUUCAUCACCCUAUUAUAUCUGAUGAUUUCAAAGCUUUGCAAUAACUACUAAGACCUCAGACAUCACAUUCCAAUAAAGGUAUAAGAAUCAAAUUAUUUCUUUAGUAUUUAUAGAUAUCAUCAAUGUUUUCAUCUACAGCCUCUACAAACUGCCUUUGUUCCCUGCUGACAUCAUACUUUCAUUAUACCUGGUAUUCUUCAAAUCACUCGUUUGCAAGGAAAGUGAAUUUAGAAUUGCUAGCCAUCAGUCUGUCAAUGACGCCAUCAAGCAAUUUUGGUUUUUUUUCUAAGUAGUCCUGGAAGGCAUUUAUUGUUCCCUUUUCACAGGCAAGGAAGUUGAGGCUCACAGAGAUUAAAGGGCUACAGCCACGUAAUUGGUUAUUGAGAGCUAGGACUGAAGCUCAGCCUCCUGACUCUACACUAAGAGAUCUUGUUUCUUCACCUCUGAGUAUAGAUAGUCCAGAGUGGCUUUGGGUUAUAGGUCAGACAGUCUUUACCAUUGUGCUAGUACUGACUCUAGAAAUUAAGGUCCAAGCUUAUGUUCAUGAUAAAUAUACACGGUCCAAGUGCUGGGUAUCUAUUGGCAAAUAAAACCCACAUCUUCACUUUCAUGGAUCUUCCGGUCCAGUCUAGGAGCUUACAGUCUAUCUGAUACGUAUUUUUUUUCCUUGGACAUCUAUUUAUUGCUUAAUUAAGGCUUUAUAAUAUUGCAUGAAUGAAAAGCAAUAGGAUGCCUUGAGACUCAUCAAUUACUUAACCCUUGAACUUUUGUAAGGUUUUCUUUCUUUCUUCUUAAAGCUAAAUUCCCCAGAUGGGUGAGUAAUUAGAUCAAGGUUCAGAAUAACAAAGACAGAUAAGGUAACUGCAAACAACAUCAUCCCACGUUGAAAGAGCUAUUCUGGUCUUUCACCUAAAGUGACUUCUUUCUGCUGAAAGAGAUUUGGCACCAGCUAGCUUAGCUGAUGGCAGAAAAAUCAACCAUGAAAUAUAAAGGUUUCAUAAGAUUGUGACAUAACCCAGUUUUUUACAGCCAUUAUAUAAUCAAUGGCAAAACAGCAGGGGGACCGAAAUAACUUAUACCUUACUUUUGGAAUGCAAUAAAAUCUCUAUUUUGCUGUCUCCACAGAUUUAAAGUCCCUAUUUUGUUUUGAUGAUGACUUCAAUUAGUUUUCAUUUCUUAUGCACUAACCAAUUGAAAGUGGUAAGGAAGGAUGGUCAGAGGCAUGCUAUAUGGCAAAGACAAGUCAUUUCAGAAUUCAGAAAUUUGCUCCAGGAAGCCCAUCAGAAAGAUAAAACUUAUUACGGAGAGGCCACAGGAGAAUAAAGAAGAAUUAGUUUAUAAGCAAACAAGUAUGUUUUUUCUUUUAUUAUUAUUAUUUUUUGUUUAUUUAUUUUUGAGAGAGAGAGAGAGCAUAAGCAGGGGAGGGGCAGAGAGAGAGAGGGAGACACAUAAUCCGAAGCAGGUUUCAGGCUCCAAGCUGUCAGCACAGCCCGACACAGGUCUGGAACCCAUGAGCCGUGGGAUCAUGACCUGAGCUGAAGUUGGACGUUUAACGGACUGAGCCACCCAGGCGCCCUAACAAUGUGUUUUUCAAGGAAAGGGUGACAAUGGCAAAAUGUUCCAAGGUUUGUUUCACUGAUAACAGGUCAGGAAGAAGGUAUGUUUUUGAGACUUCUUGGAGAGUAUAAGAGUUGAGUCAGAUGGCAGUGGGGAAUGCAGGACACCUGGGAAGAGACUUAUUAAUUCAUGCAUAUAAAAAUGCUUUUGAGUCACUGGGCUGGGAUCUGGACUACAAAUAUGAAAUAGACACAGUCCUUGCCUUCAAGGCAGUUACAGUUAGUGGGAGAAACAGAAAGGGCAAAGGAAUUUAAUCAUGGUAAAUGGAGGAAUGCAGGGGUUCUUAGGAGGGAUAACUAACUUUCAUUUGAAAAGUCGGAGAAGGUUUCCUAGAAGAAUUCCCUAAAGCUGAGAUCUGAAAGAUGAGAAAGACCAAAGAAGAGUGUCCCUAAGGAAGCAAACUGUCUACGUAAAAAGCUCAGGGGCGAAAGCAGGCAAGCACAGAGUAUUGAAGGAAAAGAAAAGAGUGUACAGGUGGAGGGUUGGGGGGAUAGUGGUGGGAGAUAAGGGAUAAGG